rnacentral:rRNA from 1 species
UGGGGAAUAUUGCACAAUGGGCGCAAGCCUGAUGCAGCCAUGCCGCGUGUGUGAAGAAGGCCUUCGGGUUGUAAAGCACUUUCAGCGAGGAGGAAGGUGGUGAGCUUAAUACGCUCAUCAAUUGACGUUACUCGCAGAAGAAGCACCGGCUAACUCCGUGCCAGCAGCCGCGGUAAUACGGAGGGUGCAAGCGUUAAUCGGAAUUACUGGGCGUAAAGCGCACGCAGGCGGUUUGUUAAGUCAGAUGUGAAAUCCCCGGGCUCAACCUGGGAACUGCAUUUGAAACUGGCAAGCUAGAGUCUCGUAGAGGGGGGUAGAAUUCCAGGUGUAGUGGUGAAAUGCGUAGAGAUCUGGAGGAAUACCGGUGGCAAAAGGCGGCCCCCCUGGACGAAGACUGACGCUCAGGUGCGAAAGCGUGGGGCAGCAAACAGGAUUAGAUACCCUGGUAGUCCACGCUGUAAACGAUGUCGAUUUUGGAGGUUGUGCCCUUGAGGCGUGGCUUCCGGAGCUAACGCGUUAAAUCGACCGCCUGGGGAGUACGGCCGCAAGGUUAAAACUUAAAGGAAUUG